rnacentral:rRNA from 1 species
UAAUACGGAGGGGGUGAGCGUUAUUCGGAAUUAUUGGGCGUAAAGGGCGCGUAGGCGGCUUGGCAAGUCAAAGGUGAAAUCCCUCGGCUCAACUGAGGAACUGCCUUUGAAACUGCCUGGCUUGAGGCCGGGAGGGGGUAGCGGAAUUCCCAGUGUAGCGGUGAAAUGCGUAGAUAUUGGGAGGAACACCAGUGGCGAAGGCGGCUACCUGGACCGGUUCUGACGCUGAUGCGCGAAAGCGUGGGUAGCAAACAGGAUUAGAUACCCUGGUAGUCCACGCUGUAAACGAUGGGUGCUCGGUGUCGCGGGUAUCGACCCCUGCGUGUGCCUUAGCUAACGCGUUAAGCACCCCGCCUGGGGAGUACGGUCGCAAGGCU